rnacentral:rRNA from 1 species
UACGUAGGGUGCAAGCGUUGUCCGGAAUUAUUGGGCGUAAAGAGCUCGUAGGCGGUUUGUCGCGUCUGCUGUGAAAACUGGAGGCUCAACCUCCAGCCUGCAGUGGGUACGGGCAAACUAGAGUACGGUAGGGGAGAUUGGAAUUCCCGGUGUAGCGGUGAAAUGCGCAGAUAUCAGGAAGAACACCAAUGGCGAAGGCAGCUCUCUGGGACGGUACUGACGCUGAGACGCGAAAGCGUGGGGAGCGAACAGG